GGUGGCUCAGUGGUAGAGCGCUUGCCUAGCAUGCAUGAAGCCCUGGGUUCGAUUCCCCAGUACCA
rnacentral:tRNA from 1 species